rnacentral:rRNA from 1 species
CGUGGGGAAUCUGCCUUUGAGCGGGGGACAACAUUUGGAAACGAAUGCUAAUACCGCAUAAAAACUUUAAACACAAGUUUUAAGUUUGAAAGAUGCAAUUGCAUCACUCAAAGAUGAUCCCGCGUUGUAUUAGCUAGUUGGUGAGGCAAAGGCUCACCAAGGCGAUGAUACAUAGCCGGCCUGAGAGGGUGAUCGGCCACAUUGGGACUGAGACACGGCCCAAACUCCUACGGGAGGCAGCAGUAGGGAAUCUUCGGCAAUGGACGAAAGUCUGACCGAGCAACGCCGCGUGAGUGAAGAAGGUUUUCGGAUCGUAAAACUCUGU